rnacentral:rRNA from 1 species
GACAGAGGGUGCAAACGUUGUUCGGAAUUACUGGGCGUAAAGCGAGUGUAGGCGGUUAGAUAAGUCGGGUGUGAAAGCCCUGGGCUCAACCCAGGAAGUGCACUCGAUACUGUUUAGCUAGAGUAUCGGAGAGGUUGGUGGAAUUCUCGGUGUAGAGGUGAAAUUCGUAGAUAUCGAGAGGAACACCGGUGGCGAAGGCGGCCAACUGGACGAAUACUGACGCUGAGACUCGAAAGCGUGGGGAGCAAACAGG